GACGAACGCUGGCGGCGUGCUUAACACAUGCAAGUCGAACGGUAAGGCCCUUCGGGGUACACGAGUGGCGAACGGGUGAGUAACACGUGGGUGAUCUGCCCUGCACUUCGGGAUAAGCCUGGGAAACUGGGUCUAAUACCGGAUAGGACCACUGCCUGCAUGGGUGGUGGUGGAAAGCUUUUGCGGUGUGGGAUGGGCACGCGGCCUAUCAGCUUGUUGGUGGGGUGAUGGCCUACCAAGGCGACGACGGGUAGCCGGCCUGAGAGGGUGACCGGCCACACUGGGACUUGGAUACGGCACAGACUCCUACGGGAGGCAGCAGUGGGGAAUAUUGCACAAUGGGCGCAAGCCUGAUGCAGCGACGCCGCGUGAGGGAUGACGGCCUUCGGGUUGUAAACCUCUUUCAGCACCGACGAAGCGCAAGUGACGGUAGGUGCAGAAGAAGGACCGGCCAACUACGUGCCAGCCGCCGCGGUAA
rnacentral:rRNA from 1 species